AUGCACGCUGGCGGCGUGCUUCACACAUGCAAGUCGAACGAAGCAUUUAAGACAGAUUCCUUCGGUUUGAAGUCUUUUAUGACUGAGUGGCGGACGGGUGAGUAACGCGUGGGUAACCUGCCUCAUACAGGGGGAUAGCAGCUGGAAACGGCUGGUAAUACCGCAUAAGCGCACAGUACCACAUGGUACAGUGGGAAAAACUCCGGUGGUAUGAGAUGGACCCGCGUCUGAUUAGCUUGUUGGCGGGGUAACGGCCCACCAAGGCGACGAUCAGUAGCCGACCUGAGAGGGUGACCGGCCACAUUGGGACUGAGACACGGCCCAGACUCCUACGGGAGGCAGCAGUGGGGAAUAUUGCACAAUGGAGGAAACUCUGAUGCAGCGACGCCGCGUGAGUGAAGAAGUAGUUCGCUAUGUAAAGCUCUAUCAGCAGGGAAGAUAGUGACGGUACCUGACUAAGAAGCUCCGGCUAAAUACGUG
rnacentral:rRNA from 1 species